AUACGGAGGAUGCAAGCGUUAUCCGGAUUUAUUAGGUUUAAAGGGUGCGUAGGUGGGCGUUUAAGUCAGUGGUUAAAGCCAUUAGCUUAACUAAUGUAUGCCAUUGAUAAUGGAUGUCUUGAAUGUGGUAGAGGUAGGCGGAAUGUGUUGUGUAGCGGUGAAAUGCUUAGAUAUAACACAGAACACCGAUUGCGUAGGCAGCUUACUAUUCCAUUAUUGACGCUGAUGCACGAAAGCGUGGGGAUCAAACAGGAUUAGAUACCCUGGUAGUCCACGCUGUAAACUAUGAUCACUCGUUUUUGGCGAUAUAUAGUCAGAGACUGAGCGAAAGCAUUAAGUGAUCCACCUGGGGAGUACGUUCGCAAGAAUGAAACUCAAAGGAAUUGACGGGG
rnacentral:rRNA from 1 species